CGGAAGGAAAGAAGUUAAGUGGUGGGAUGGGUACAGACAGAGUUAGAUAAAUUCAUGUAUUGUGAGAUUAGGUGGGGUUGGAUUUACAGGGGCUGCCUUGUUAUAAACCUACGAACCUCUUGCAGACUUCUUAUGAUCUUACUAUAGGAAGCGAAAAAAAGUCGAGGUGGGUUAUGAUUAAAAGGGAAGGAGUGGUAAGGAGGGGUGAAAAGGGUGGUAAUGAAGAAAGGAGAGAGAAAAAAAAGGUGGCGAUAAAGGGAGGAGAGAGAAAAGGAAGCGAUGAAAAAAAAAAAUGAGACGAGAAAGACGACAGAGAUGGAGUAAGGGGUGAGAAAUAAGGUGGCGGUGAAGGAAGGGGUGAGAAAUAAGGUGGCGAUGAAGGAAGGGGUGAGAAAUAAGGUGGCGGUGAAGGAAGGGGUGAGAAAUAAGGUGGCGAUGAAGGAAGGGGUGAGAAAUAAGGUGGCGAUGAAGGAAGGGGUGAGAAAUAAGGUGGCGGUGAAGGAAGGGGUGAGAAAUAAGGUGGCGGUGAAGGAAGGGGUGAGAAAUAAGGUGGCGAUGAAGGAAGGGGUGAGAAAUAAGGUGGCGAUGAAGGAAGGGGUGAGAAAUAAGGUGGCGAUGAAGGAAGGGGUGAGAAAUAAGGUGGCGGUGAAGGAAGGGGCGAGAAAUAAGGUGGCGAUGAAGGAAGGGGUGAGAAAUAAGGUGGCGAUGAAGGAAGGGGCGAGAAAUAAGGUGGCGAUGAAGGAAGGGGCGAGAAAUAAGGUGGCGAUGAAGGAAGGGGCGAGAAAUAAGGUGGCGGUGAAGGAAGGGGUGAGAGAUAAGGUGGUGAUGAAGGAAGGGGUGAGAAAUAAGGUGGCGGUGAAGGAAGGGGUGAGAAAUAAGGUGGUGAUGAAGGAAGGGGUGAGAAAUAAGGUGGUGAUGAAGGAAGGGGUGAGAAAUAAGGUGGCGAUGAAGGAAGGGGUGAGAAAUAAGGUGGCGAUGAAGGAAGGGGUGAGAAAUAAGGUGGCGAUGAAGGAAGGGGUGAGAAAUAAGGUGGCGAUGAAGGAAGGGGUGAGAAAUAAGGUGGCGAUGAAGGAAGGGAAUUAAAGGUGAUAAGUAAGGAAAGACAGUGAGGAGGCGAUGAAGGUAGGAAAGAGAGAAAGGGGACGAUGAAAAGAGGGGCGAGAAAAAUUAUGAAAAAUGGCCGAGAAAGAAGGUGGCGAUGAGGUAGUUAGACACACACACAUGUUUAUGGUCAUAUGAGACGGACUAUUUUAUUUAUCUAUUAUUUGUUCAUUUGAUAUUUUCUAGCUGGGACAUUUGAUGAUAUUAGAGAUUGUUGUAGGACUGGCCAAUAAUAGCUUUGCGUGCCAUGGAGGUUGGUUGGUCAAUGAUACUGACCAAUAUUUUUUCUUCCGUUAGUGGGUACACAGGUUCCAAGCAUAUCCAUUGCUUAGUUAAAUAGUUCAUAGAUUUCUGGGACAGUUUGGAAAGUUUCGUUUAGUCGGCGCAACAUCUGUGGUCAUAUGCCGGAGAGAGACAGAAGGGGAAGGAAUUAUAGGAGAAGGGAACAGAUCCCAGGAGACGGGACACAACCCCCGAUAAAUGCCUGGCACCCAUUCACUGCUGGGUGCACAGGGGCGUAAGGUAUCGGAAAAGCCGCCCAAAUUUUUCCACUCCGCCCGGGAAUCGAACCCGGGCUCUCUCGGUUGUGAGCCGAGUGUGUUAACCACUGCACCACGAAUGCCCCAUAGAUUUCUGGUGUGAUUGACUGGCUCAUGUUUCUUGGAUAAGCAGUUUAUUUUCCGGAUGGUUGGUUUAGUGGUUGAAUAAGCUGCAAUGAAUGAUGGACUAAGUAGCUAACGCUUUGACAGACAGACUUACUGUACUCUCACACUUUCGUUCCUUUACUCUCUCAUUCU